UGCUCUGCACACUGAGCCCUUCUGGGCCUCAGCACAGCAACUUUGCCUUGACAACGCCGGGAUGCGGCCGCUGACAUCACAAUAGCAGCCGCCCUAGGCUGGAUUGUGAAUUCAUGCAUAGAACCAGACCUGCUCUACACCUAAUGCCAAAAAAUGCCUGCAAAGUUCUCCUCUGCUACAAAGCAACACAAAAAGCCCUCCUAGUCCAUCACCUGUUGUUCAAGGCAUGUAAGAGUAGAAACACACUGAGCCCCUAGAGCCCACACUGAGAAGCUGAGCACUGAGAAGGGACCAGGAUGUGAGGAACCACAUUAGUGGUCUUUGGCAACUAUUUCUGCUGAGCAAAAGCCAGAAGGCUUGUUCCAGCUGGACCUUCCUUCGUUCUAGAAAGCAGCAAACAAGGAGAAGCACUACUUUAAUUACAUUUAGAAGUUUCUCCUAGGUACAGAGACAAGGUCAUGGAUCUUUCAGCAGUCUAUAUUCAAAACAUUUUACAUCAUAGCCAUGGGUGGGAUUUCAGCAGGGAAAUGCCAUGACAGAAAAUGCAAGGAGGAUCAUUCUGUCUGACUCACUCUAACAGGGAGACCUUGCGACCAAAGCACCACCACCAUUUUUUCCCCCAUUUUUGUCCUUCCACAGUAUUUGUUAGCACAUGGGGCUGAGAUGGGUGGCACGGAAGUGACAGCUCUGACACACAGCUGAACCCAGCAGGGCCAGAGUGGCAUGUGGGACUGUUUUUCUGCUCCAGCAGAACAAGGCAAGCCAGAGUGGUGACACUGAUCCCAAAAGGGGAGAGAGGAGAGGCUUUACAAGGACUACCUCAAGAAGAGGACAUAGAAUGGAGGGAAGGCCUUCGAAAGAAUAAACAACCCUCAUGCUGCCGCUUUUGCAAGGAAUAAAUGUCCAAGUUUCUUAGUAUCCAGCCACAAAUCUGUGGAGUCUUGACAGCCAAGAAGCACAGGAACCUGGACACCUUGUUGUGAGAGACUAGAGGAGAUUGCUGGCUCAACACUUUUCAGGGGCUUGUAUGUGGGGAAGGGGGCAGAUCAAGGCUUGCUCUGGUGAGGCGAUGCCCCACUCGGCACGCCCCACACCCCCAGGCCUGUAUCCCAGCCCAGCAGUGGCCACUGAUCCCUGGCACACCAGAGGCAAUGCUCCACACCUGUGUCUGGAGCCCCUAACCCAGCUCCUAAAUGGCCAGGUGAGUGGGAGCCCCAUGUGGGGGAAGGCCCCAGGAGAGCCAAAGGCUAUUUACCUUGGGAUAUGUGGCCACCACAUGUCUUGAUCCUACCUCUUCUUGGAAUUUCUAUCAGCUGAACACCACUGGAACCAGGAGUGAUAGCUAUGUUGGUUCCUUUCUGUCAUUCUCUCUUUCUCUUUCUUCUCCCUUUUCCCUGCUCUCAGAUGUUUGAGUAAUUUAAAAUCUUAACAGGCUUAAUGAUCUAAAUCUAACUCAAUUAACACAUUUUGUUUGGUUGAUUGGGCUAAGUUAAUGCUUUGUAAAAUAUUCUCUGUUAUGUUUAAUUUUUUUACCUUUCAAGUUCUCUGAUUUUUGAAAGUUGACAGUGAAGGGUUUUUUGUUGUUCCAAUCUCUUGAGAACAUCUCAUCAGUAUUUUUCCUGCUUUUCUAUCUCAAGAGUACAGGAACAAGUUUAAGUCCUUUUACAGUGUCCCAGAGAGCAACAUUUUUGGGGCCUUACAUUUUAAUUGGCACAGCAGG